GAACCCUUGGAGAGAUCCGAUAUGAAUAAUCAUAAUCGGACGCCGAAGGCGCAAAAGAGCGGUGAUUUUUUUCACUGUUUUUCAAACGCUCAGGCAAAAGGACAGGGGCAA
rnacentral:ncRNA from 1 species